UCCUUAAUGGUCACUCAGACAACGUUUUACUCAACUAUAAAGGGGAACAUUUAAAGUGCAUAUGAGAAGAGAAGAAAAAUGACCACAGGAGAAAAAUCAUCUCAGAUUCUCUCCUGGCCUCACCCCUGCCAUUUAUCAAGAAGCUUUGAAAUCUCAGUGUCUGUGUGUAUAAA